rnacentral:rRNA from 1 species
AGUCGAGCGAACGGACGAGAAGCUUGCUUCUCUGAUGUUAGCGGCGGACGGGUGAGUAACACGUGGAUAACCUACCUAUAAGACUGGGAUAACUUCGGGAAACCGGAGCUAAUACCGGAUAAUAUUUUGAACCGCAUGGUUCAAAAGUGAAAGACGGUCUUGCUGUCACUUAUAGAUGGAUCCGCGCUGCAUUAGCUAGUUGGUAAGGUAACGGCUUACCAAGGCAACGAUGCAUAGCCGACCUGAGAGGGUGAUCGGCCACACUGGAACUGAGACACGGUCCAGACUCCUACGGGAGGCAGCAGUAGGGAAUCUUCCGCAAUGGGCGAAAGCCUGACGGAGCAACGCCGCGUGAGUGAUGAAGGUCUUCGGAUCGUAAAACUCUGUUAUUAGGGAAGAACAUAUGUGUAAGUAACUGUGCACAUCUUGACGGUACCUAAUCAGAAAGCCACGGCUAACUGCGUGCCAGCAGCCGCGGUAAUACGUAGGUGGCAAGCGUUAUCCGGAAUUAUUGGGCGUAAAGCGCGCGUAGGCGGUUUUUUAAGUCUGAUGUGAAAGCCCACGGCUCAACCGUGGAGGGUCAUUGGAAACUGGAAAACUUGAGUGCAGAAGAGGAAAGUGGAAUUCCAUGUGUAGCGGUGAAAUGCGCAGAGAUAUGGAGGAACACCAGUGGCGAAGGCGACUUUCUGGUCUGUAACUGACGCUGAUGUGCGAAAGCGUGGGGAUC